UACGUAGGGUGCAAGCGUUAAUCGGAAUUACUGGGCGUAAAGGGUGCGCAGGCGGUUCUGUAAGUCAGAUGUGAAAUCCCCGGGCUUAACCUGGGAACUGCGUUUGAAACUGCAGAGCUAGAGUGCAGCAGAGGGAGGUGGAAUUCCAUGUGUAGCAGUGAAAUGCGUAGAGAUAUGGAAGAACAUCGAUGGCGAAGGCAACCUCCUGGGCUAGCACUGACGCUCAUGCACGAAAGCGUGGGGAGCAAACAGGAUUAGAUACCCUGGUAGUCCACGCCCUAAACUAUGUCAACUAGUUGUCGGGUCUUAUUAGACUUGGUAACGUAGCUAACGCGUGAAGUUGACCGCCUGGGGAGUACGGUCGCAAGAUUAAAACUCAAAUGAAUUGACGG
rnacentral:rRNA from 1 species